rnacentral:rRNA from 1 species
GGGUUGUGAGGUUAAGCGACUAAGCGUACACGGUGGAUGCCCUGGCAGUCAGAGGCGAUGAAGGACGUGCUAAUCUGCGAAAAGCGUCGGUAAGGUGAUAUGAACCGUUAUAGCCGGCGAUGUCCGAAUGGGGAAACCCAGUGCAAUUCGUUGCACUAUCGUUUGAUGAAUACAUAGUCAAACGAGGCGAACCGGGGGAACUGAAACAUCUAAGUACCCCGAGGAAAAGAAAUCAACCGAGAUUCCCCCAGUAGCGGCGAGCGAACGGGGAGCAGCCCGGAGUCUGAAUCAGCUUGUGUGUUAGUGGAAGCGUCUGGAAAGUCGCAGGGUACAGGGUGAUACUCCCGUACACUAAAACACACAGGCUGUGAACUCGAAGAGUAGGGCGGGACACGUGGUAUCCUGUCUGAAUAUGGGGGGACCAUCCUCCAAGGCUAAAUACUCCUGACUGACCGAUAGUGAACCAGUACCGUGAGGGAAAGGCGAAAAGAACCCCGGCGAGGGGAGUGAAAAAGAACCUGAAACCGUGUACGUACAAGCAGUAGGAGCCUCUUUAUGGGGUGACUGCGUACCUUUUGUAUAAUGGGUCAGCGACUUAUAUUCUGUAGCAAGGUUAACCGUAUAGGGGAGCCGCAGGGAAACCGAGUCUUAACUGGGCGUUAAGUUGCAGGGUAUAGACCCGAAACCCGGUGAUCUAGCCAUGGGCAGGUUGAAGGUUGGGUAACACUAACUGGAGGACCGAACCGACUAAUGUUGAAAAAUUAGCGGAUGACUUGUGGCUGGGGGUGAAAGGCCAAUCAAACCGGGAGAUAGCUGGUUCUCCCCGAAAGCUAUUUAGGUAGCGCCUCGUGAAUUCAUCUUCGGGGGUAGAGCACUGUUUCGGCUAGGGGGUCAUCCCGACUUACCAACCCGAUGCAAACUACGAAUACCGAAGAAUGUUAUCACGGGAGACACACGGCGGGUGCUAACGUCCGUCGUGAAGAGGGAAACAACCCAGACCGCCAGCUAAGGUCCCAAAGUCAUGGUUAAGUGGGAAACGAUGUGGGAAGGCCCAGACAGCCAGGAUGUUGGCUUAGAAGCAGCCAUCAUUUAAAGAAAGCGUAAUAGCUCACUGGUCGAGUCGGCCUGCGCGGAAGAUGUAACGGGGCUAAACCAUGCACCGAAGCUGCGGCAGCGACACUAUGUGUUGUUGGGUAGGGGAGCGUUCUGUAAGCCGUUGAAGGUGGCCUGUGAGGGUUGCUGGAGGUAUCAGAAGUGCGAAUGCUGACAUAAGUAACGAUAAUGCGGGUGAAAAACCCGCACGCCGGAAGACCAAGGGUUCCUGUCCAACGUUAAUCGGGGCAGGGUGAGUCGACCCCUAAGGCGAGGCCGAAAGGCGUAGUCGAUGGGAAACAGGUUAAUAUUCCUGUACUCGGUGUUACUGCGAAGGGGGGACGGAGAAGGCUAUGUUGGCCGGGCGACGGUUGUCCCGGUUUAAGCAUGUAGGCGGAUGUUCCAGGUAAAUCCGGAACGUUAUUAACGCUGAGGUGUGAUGACGAGGCACUACGGUGCUGAAGUGACAAAUGCCCUGCUUCCAGGAAAAGCCUCUAAGCAUCAGGUAACAUCAAAUCGUACCCCAAACCGACACAGGUGGUCAGGUAGAGAAUACCAAGGCGCUUGAGAGAACUCGGGUGAAGGAACUAGGCAAAAUGGUGCCGUAACUUCGGGAGAAGGCACGCUGAUAUGUAGGUGAAGUGGUUUACCCAUGGAGCUGAAAUCAGUCGAAGAUACCAGCUGGCUGCAACUGUUUAUUAAAAACACAGCACUGUGCAAACACGAAAGUGGACGUAUACGGUGUGACGCCUGCCCGGUGCCGGAAGGUUAAUUGAUGGGGUUAUCCGUAAGGAGAAGCUCUUGAUCGAAGCCCCGGUAAACGGCGGCCGUAACUAUAACGGUCCUAAGGUAGCGAAAUUCCUUGUCGGGUAAGUUCCGACCUGCACGAAUGGCGUAAUGAUGGCCAGGCUGUCUCCACCCGAGACUCAGUGAAAUUGAACUCGCUGUGAAGAUGCAGUGUACCCGCGGCAAGACGGAAAGACCCCGUGAACCUUUACUAUAGCUUGACACUGAACACUGGUCCUUGAUGUGUAGGAUAGGUGGGAGGCUUUGAAGUGUGGACGCCAGUCUGCAUGGAGCCAUCCUUGAAAUACCACCCUUUAAUGGCUGGUGUUCUAACGUGGGCCCGUUAUCCGGGUUGCGGACAGUGUCUGGUGGGUAGUUUGACUGGGGCGGUCUCCUCCUAAAGAGUAACGGAGGAGCACGAAGGUCAGCUAAUCCUGGUCGGACAUCAGGAGGUUAGUGCAAUGGCAUAAGCUGGCUUGACUGCGAGCGUGACGGCGCGAGCAGGUGCGAAAGCAGGUCAUAGUGAUCCGGUGGUUCUGAAUGGAAGGGCCAUCGCUCAACGGAUAAAAGGUACUCCGGGGAUAACAGGCUGAUACCGCCCAAGAGUUCAUAUCGACGGCGGUGUUUGGCACCUCGAUGUCGGCUCAUCACAUCCUGGGGCUGAAGUAGGUCCCAAGGGUAUGGCUGUUCGCCAUUUAAAGUGGUACGCGAGCUGGGUUUAGAACGUCGUGAGACAGUUCGGUCCCUAUCUGCCGUGGGCGCUGGAGAAUUGAGGGGGGCUGCUCCUAGUACGAGAGGACCGGAGUGGACGCAUCACUGGUGUUCGGGUUGUCAUGCCAAUGGCAUUGCCCGGUAGCUAAAUGCGGAAGAGAUAAGUGCUGAAAGCAUCUAAGCACGAAACUUGCCCCGAGAUGAGUUCUCCCUGACUCCUUGAGAGUCCUGAAGGAACGUUGAAGACGACGACGUUGAUAGGCCGGGUGUGUAAGCGCAGCGAUGCGUUGAGCUAACCGGUACUAAUGAACCGUGAGGCUUAACCUUACAACGCCGAAG